rnacentral:rRNA from 1 species
UCUACGGGUGGCAGCAGUGGGGAAUAUUGGACAAUGGGCGAAAGCCUGAUCCAGCCAUGCCGCGUGUGUGAAGAAGGCCUUCGGGUUGUAAAGCACUUUCAGUGGGGAAGAAAGCCUUGGGGCUAAUACCCUCGAGGAAGGACAUCACCCACAGAAGAAGCACCGGCUAACUCCGUGCCAGCAGCCGCGGUAAUACGGAGGGUGCGAGCGUUAAUCGGAAUUACUGGGCGUAAAGCGCGCGUAGGCGGUCUGAUAAGCCGGUUGUGAAAGCCCCGGGCUCAACCUGGGAACGGCAUCCGGAACUGUCAGGCUAGAGUGCAGGAGAGGAAAGUAGAAUUCCCGGUGUAGCGGUGAAAUGCGUAGAGAUCGGGAGGAAUACCAGUGGCGAAGGCGGCCUUCUGGACUGACACUGACGCUGAGGUGCGAAAGCGUGGGUAGCAAACAGGAUUAGAUACCCUAGUAGUC